UGUGAGCCCAUGUAUAGAAACCAUAUAUCCCACCCUUCUAGAGUUUGGAGGAAUACAAGACAAUUAUUCUCUCCUACAAGAACAACAAUUUAUAUACACUCUAAAUACAAAAUUACAAAUACAUUCAGCUCAUAAUAGUUAUCUGCAGUGAACUGCUUGUUUUAUAGAUUGUUUCAUUAAUCUACCAGAAAGCUUCUGAUAGAUUGGAAGACAAUCAUGAGAAUACCCAAUCAAGUGGUAACUAUAACAAUUCAGAAGAUCAAACUCAACUGCCCCCUUAUUCCAGCUCUGCUGAGAGUGCAGAUGAAUCGAUCAUUAGCAUCCCUGUUAGGGGCAUUGAAUUUGAGUUGUCAUGCAGAGGCUGAAGUUUGGCCGUCAUGAGCAGAAAGAAUAAGUGCAUGAAGAUGAAAUUACGCUGCAACACUCUGCGUAAAGAUUCAAUAGCAAUGGUGUAUGUGAUCGGAUCGUUCUUAAGCUGGGGCCCAUGCAAAGAUAAAGUCAGAUGGCAUUGUGUAUAAGAGUUACGGUUUGUAUAUUCGGAAGGUCGGCCCAUAAGCUUGAGACCCGGGCCAUGUGUUUUUUGCACUUAGGACUGAUGCUGUAAUUUGUGGGGGCGACCUCACAGAAGCCACGUUAUCCUUAAGACCGUUGAAAUUUAGGAAGGCCAAUUGGAGCAAUCAUUUAUUUGAUGAAUAUUAUAUAUGUACAUGGAGUUGGCUAUAUUCUCAACUGCGCUAUACAUAUCCUGCAUUGAUUGUACGUGUUUAACUCUUUUCUAGAAAUGUUAUUUGCUUGUCAUAGUUCA